ensembl:snoRNA
GGCCACAUUGCAGACUCGUCAGUGGGAUCGUCCUGUGCAGCGGACUGAUCCAGGACUGCAGUGGCUAUAGAAAGUCAGGUUUUGCUUUCACCUCUGCACUGUUGGUUGCUGAAUGGUGACAAUGAGGCCUGACACACUC